CUCUCUCUCUCUCUCUCUCUCUCUCUCUCUCUCUCUCUCUCUCUCUCUCUCUCUCUCUCUCUCUCCGGUUCCCUUUCGCUCCUUUUUUAUAUUAUCAUUCUUGCCCAUUUUUUUCUGUUUCGUCUUUUCGUGAGGGAAAUGCACAGUGGAAACAGAUUUUCCCGAAAGAAAUUACUAUUCGCCUCCUGUCAACUUCAGUGCUUGGAUCAUACGAAUUCUUUCUACAUCUCUCUAAAAUGUCAUACCGGGCUAUAGAGGAACAGUCAGAAUCUAUAAGAGUGAACACAGUACUGGUGCGAAAAUUAGAAAAAGUGUAAAUUGUGCGGUGCGAUUGAAAUAAUGAAAAGAAAGAAAAUUACUGUUUGUGCGUUGUGAACUCUGAACUGAUAAUCCAUCUUAGUAACUGGUGCGAAAAUUAGAAAAAAAAAGUGUAAAUUGUGCGGUGCGAUUAAAAUAAAAAGAAAGAAAAUUACAGUCAGAAUCUAUAAGAGUGAACACAGUACUGGUGCGAAAAUUUGAAAACAGUGUAAAUUGUGCGGUGCGAUUGAAAUAAAAAGAAAGAAAGAAAAUUAUAGUCAGAAUCUAUAAGAGUGAACACAGUACUGGUGCGAAAAUUAGAAAAAAGUGUAAAUUGUGCGGUGCGAUUGAAAUAA
rnacentral:lncRNA from 1 species